rnacentral:SRP_RNA from 1 species
CGAUUGGGUCUUGCGCGACGGAGGCUUUUGAACCGUGUCAGGUCCUGACGGAAGCAGCACUAAGGAAGUUUAUCCGGGUGCCGCAAGGGUGCCUGGUCCGAGC